UACGUAGGGUGCAGGCGUUAAUCGGAAUUACUGGGCGUAAAGCGUGCGCAGGCGGUUUGCUAAGAGAGAUGUGAAAUCCCCGGGCUCAACCCGGGAACUGCGUCCGAUACUGGCAGGCUUGAAUCCGGGAGAGGGAUGCGGAAUUCCAGGUGUAGCGGUGAAAUGCGUAGAUAUCUGGAGGAACACCGGUGGCGAAGGCGGCAUCCUGGACCGGUAUUGACGCUGAGGCGCGAAAGCUAGGGGAGCAAACGGG
rnacentral:rRNA from 1 species